GGCUAUGGCGGGCGGUUCGUGGGAGCCUCGUGCCCGCCGGCCCAACACAACCCGGGUUUCGAGCCACGCAUCGUCCGCCCCCCUA
rnacentral:antisense_RNA from 1 species